GCAGGUCUUUAAAGGUUACCUCUCAACCCAGCCCCUUUGUCUCCCCAGCAGGUCAUUAAAGGUUACCUCUAAACCCAGCCCCUUUGUCUCCCCAGCAGGUCAUUAAAGGUUACCUCUAAACCCAUCCCCUUUGUCUCCCCAGGUCUUUAAAGGUUACCUCUAAACCCAGCCCCUUUGUCUCCCCAGGUCAUUAAAGGUUACCUCUAAACCCAGCCCCUUUGUCUCCCCAGCAGGUCAUUAAAGGUUACCUCUAAACCCAGCCCCUUUGUCUCCCCAGCAGGUCUUUAAAGGUUACCUCUGAACCCAGCCCCUUUGUCUCCCCAGCAGGUCAUUAAAGGUUACCUCUAAACCCAGCCCCUUUGUCUCCCCAGGUCUUUAAAGGUUACCUCUAAACCCAGCCCCUUUGUCUCCCCAGCAGGUCAUUAAAGGUUACCUCUAAACCCAGCCCCUUUGUCUCCCCAGCAGGUCUUUAAAGGUUACCUCUAAACCCAGCCCCUUUGUCUCCCCAGGUCUUUAAAGGUUACCUCUAAACCCAGCCCCUUUGUCUCCCCAGCAGGUCUUUAAAGGUUACCUCUAAACCCAGCCCCUUUGUCUCCCCAGCAGGUCUUUAAAGGUUACCUCUAAACCCAGCCCCUUUGUCUCCCCAGGUCUUUAAAGGUUACCUCUAAACCCAGCCCCUUUGUCUCCCCAGCAGGUCAUUAAAGGUUACCUCUAAACUCAUCCCCUUUGUCUCCCCAGCAGGUCUUUAAAGGUUACCUCUAAACCCAGCCCCUUUGUCUCCCCAGGUCUUUAAAGGUGAAUUUCAGCUCCCUGAGUUUCUAAGAGAACAAUCUCAGCUUCAGAAGACUCCAGAGAAACCUAACCCCAGUUAGGAGGAGCAGCCAACACGCCACACAGAAGGUGGAAAUAGAUGCAGCUAGAGGACAGGCUGAUGGCACCGAUGGACAGACAUCCAAUAGACUCACCACCACUUUUUGUGGACCUCAGUACUCUUCCAUGAACACACACACAAACACAUACGCUAUAUAUACAAAAGUAUGUGGACAUCGCUUCAAAUUAGUGGAUUGGGCUAUUUCAGCCACACCCGUUGCUGACUGGUGUAUAAAAUCAAGCACACCUCCAUGCAAUCUCCAUAGACAAACAUUGGCAGUAGAAUAGCCUUACUGAAGAGCUCAGUGAAUUUCAACGUGGUACUGUUAUAGGAUGCCACCUUUCUCAAAUUUCUGCCCUGCUAGAGCUGCCCCGGUCAACUGUAAAUGUUGUUAUUGUGAAGUGGAAAUGUCUAGGAGCGUCAACGUCACAGCCACGAAAUGGUAGGCCACACAAAGGUCACAGAACUGGACCGCCGAGUGCUGAAGCGCUUAAAAAUCGUUGCAACACUCACUCACGAGUUCCAAACUGCCCCUGGAAGCAACGUCAGCACAAGAACUGUUCGUCGGGACCUUCAUGAAACGGGUUUCCAUGGCAGAGGAGCCGCACACAAGCCUAAGAUCACCAUGCGCAAUGCCGCGUGUCGGCUGGAGUGGUGUAAAGGUUGCCGCCAUUGGACUCUGGAGCAGUAGACCAACUUCAUAUUAAUGCCCAUGAUUUUUGGAAUGAGAUGUUCUACGAGCAGGUGUCCACAUACUUUUGGUCAUGUAGUAUACAUUCACACAGUAUUGUAUCCCAUCAUGACUGGAUAUAACCGUUUUCCACACUGGCUUUGUGGAGAACUCUCUUGGCCUUUUUGAUGUUCGUAAUGUAAACAAAUGAUACAUUUGUCACAAAAUGGUGACCAGAGAAUGUCAAUGUUACUGUUAUGUUUCUAUCUUUCUUGUCGAGGGUUGCAAAAUUACCCCAAUUUCCUAGAUUUUCGAAAAAUCCCAGUUUGGAAGAUUCCUGAGAUCCUACAACCAGGAUUUCUGGAAAACCAUGGACAUUUUUAGAAAGUUACCAGAAUUUUGAAAAACUAUUCUCGUGACCCCAUGUUCAUUCAUCCUCAUUUGUUUUUCUUCUUUUAAAUGAUUUCUCCUGGCUAUAUAUAUAUAUAUACACAUCUGUGAUUCUGUUGUAAGAAAAUACAGUGGACUUAAACAUCAAAAAAAGUGACUAAUGUAUUUAUGGAUGACAUUUUGCUUUUUGAAGAUGCAAUAUCUAUUUUAAUGUUUUCAUUUUUGUUUUUCAUGCCUUUCUAUCGUGCAAUUCCAUGGGUACUGAUGUACAAGAUCUGUUUUUAAGUAUUGACAGUGAUAAAGAUGGCAUUUUGUAAA